AUUGAACGCUGGCGGCAUGCUUUACACAUGCAAGUCGAACGGCAGCGCGGGCUUCGGCCUGGCGGCGAGUGGCGAACGGGUGAGUAAUGCAUCGGAACGUGCCCAGUAGUGGGGGAUAGCCCGGCGAAAGCCGGAUUAAUACCGCAUACGACCUGAGGGUGAAAGCGGGGGACCGAAAGGCCUCGCGCUAUUGGAGCGGCCGAUGUCGGAUUAGCUAGUUGGUGGGGUAAAGGCUUACCAAGGCGACGAUCCGUAGCUGGUCUGAGAGGACGACCAGCCACACUGGGACUGAGACACGGCCCAGACUCCUACGGGAGGCAGCAGUGGGGAAUUUUGGACAAUGGGGGCAACCCUGAUCCAGCCAUGCCGCGUGCGGGAAGAAGGCCUUCGGGUUGUAAACCGCUUUUGUUCGGGAAGAAAUCCUCUGGGCUAAUACCCCUGGGGGAUGACGGUACCGGAAGAAUAAGCACCGGCUAACUACGUG
rnacentral:rRNA from 1 species